rnacentral:rRNA from 1 species
GCGUAAAGAGCGCGCAGGCGUAAUUAUAAGCCAGAUGUGAAAUCUCGGGGCUCAACCCCGAAACUGCGUCUGGAACUGUAGAUCUAGAGUUAUGGAGGGGAGAGCGGAAUUUCGCAUGUAGGGGUAAAAUCCGUAGAGAUGCGAAGGAACACCAGAGCCGAAGGGGGCUGUCGGGCCAUCAACACCACUGACGCCCUG